GGAGAGAUGGCUCAGUGGUUAAGAGCUCUGACUGCUCUUCCAGAGGUCCUGAGUUCAAUUCCAAGCAACUACA
rnacentral:tRNA from 1 species